rnacentral:rRNA from 1 species
UUUUAUGAGAGUUUGAUCCUGGCUCAGGACGAACGCUGGCGGCGUGCCUAAUACAUGCAAGUCGUACGCUUCUUUUUCCACCGGAGCUUGCUCCACCGGAAAAAGAGGAGUGGCGAACGGGUGAGUAACACGUGGGUAACCUGCCCAUCAGAAGGGGAUAACACUUGGAAACAGGUGCUAAUACCGUAUAACAAUCGAAACCGCAUGGUUUUGAUUUGAAAGGCGCUUUCGGGUGUCGCUGAUGGAUGGACCCGCGGUGCAUUAGCUAGUUGGUGAGGUAACGGCUCACCAAGGCCACGAUGCAUAGCCGACCUGAGAGGGUGAUCGGCCACAUUGGGACUGAGACACGGCCCAAACUCCUACGGGAGGCAGCAGUAGGGAAUCUUCGGCAAUGGACGAAAGUCUGACCGAGCAACGCCGCGUGAGUGAAGAAGGUUUUCGGAUCGUAAAACUCUGUUGUUAGAGAAGAACAAGGAUGAGAGUAACUGUUCAUCCCUUGACGGUAUCUAACCAGAAAGCCACGGCUAACUACGUGCCAGCAGCCGCGGUAAUACGUAGGUGGCAAGCGUUGUCCGGAUUUAUUGGGCGUAAAGCGAGCGCAGGCGGUUUCUUAAGUCUGAUGUGAAAGCCCCCGGCUCAACCGGGGAGGGUCAUUGGAAACUGGGAGACUUGAGUGCAGAAGAGGAGAGUGGAAUUCCAUGUGUAGCGGUGAAAUGCGUAGAUAUAUGGAGGAACACCAGUGGCGAAGGCGGCUCUCUGGUCUGUAACUGACGCUGAGGCUCGAAAGCGUGGGGAGCAAACAGGAUUAGAUACCCUGGUAGUCCACGCCGUAAACGAUGAGUGCUAAGUGUUGGAGGGUUUCCGCCCUUCAGUGCUGCAGCUAACGCAUUAAGCACUCCGCCUGGGGAGUACGACCGCAAGGUUGAAACUCAAAGGAAUUGACGGGGGCCCGCACAAGCGGUGGAGCAUGUGGUUUAAUUCGAAGCAACGCGAAGAACCUUACCAGGUCUUGACAUCCUUUGACCACUCUAGAGAUAGAGCUUCCCCUUCGGGGGCAAAGUGACAGGUGGUGCAUGGUUGUCGUCAGCUCGUGUCGUGAGAUGUUGGGUUAAGUCCCGCAACGAGCGCAACCCUUAUUGUUAGUUGCCAUCAUUCAGUUGGGCACUCUAGCAAGACUGCCGGUGACAAACCGGAGGAAGGUGGGGAUGACGUCAAAUCAUCAUGCCCCUUAUGACCUGGGCUACACACGUGCUACAAUGGGAAGUACA